rnacentral:rRNA from 1 species
AUUGAACGCUGGCGGCAGGCCUAACACAUGCAAGUCGAACGGUAGCACAAAGCAGCUUGCUCUUGGGUGACGAGUGGCGGACGGGUGAGUAAUGUCUGGGAAACUGCCUGAUGGAGGGGGAUAACUACUGGAAACGGUAGCUAAUACCGCAUAACGUCUUCGGACCAAAGUGGGGGACCUUCGGGCCUCACACCAUCGGAUGUGCCCAGAUGGGAUUAGCUAGUAGGUGGGGUAAUGGCUCACCUAGGCGACGAUCCCUAGCUGGUCUGAGAGGAUGACCAGCCACACUGGAACUGAGACACGGUCCAGACUCCUACGGGAGGCAGCAGUGGGGAAUAUUGCACAAUGGGCGCAAGCCUGAUGCAGCCAUGCCGCGUGUAUGAAGAAGGCCUUCGGGUUGUAAAGUACUUUCAGCGGGGAGGAAGGCGAUGUGGUUAAUAACCGCAUCGAUUGACGUUACCCGCAGAAGAAGCACCGGCUAACUCCGUGCCAGCAGCCGCAGUAAUAC